AUGUAAACCGCGUAUGCUUUGUAUUUCUUCUUCUAUUAACCGUAAAAGGUCUAUUUUGUAUUGGAGAUCGUGUGCUAGCCUUGCGUAGGGUGGAGUUUUUUCUUGCAAGUCUUUACGACCGUUUUUAACUCAUUCAGAAGAGAGGAAUAUUGGUCAUCAGUUGUUUUUGUAAGGACCUCAGGAAAAAGUUCCCCAGUAUGGCACUCAGGCUUGGCUACAUUCUGAGCACCCCUUUGAAUGGAGCUCUUAGAGUCUAACAGAAAUAUUACAGCAGAUCACACCACCAUAGUGCUGCAACAGCUGACAUUCGGCUGAUCUCUGUACUUCAUGGAAUCAAACUUAAAACAACUAUUCAACGAAGUGGAGCUGGCUAGUGGUUGAUAAUAAUAUUCCUGCAACGAUUACAAUAUGUUCGGGGGCAAAUCCAGCGCGAGUUGUUGGGAAGUGGCUGGCAAAGGAUAUUCAGCGUUUGAGUUGCCACUCAGAGCUCAUAUUCAUCUUUUUGUACUAUAUUAUGUCAAGCAUUUAAAGAAAGCGACAAAACUUUUAAGUCUGUAAAACAUGUUUAGACAGAAACUUCUGUCAUCUUCAGUUAAUUAAUGUUCAAAGCGUUGGAAGUUGAAUUAUCUAGUGCGUAGAACAAUGCUAAUUAUGAUAAAUAGUGACAACAAUAAAAGAGGUAAAGCAUGAAAGUGUGGGAAUUAAAAGGAUAGUUUUAGAUUUACAUGGUGUAAUUGUUGAUUCAUGGAUGGUUGUUCUCUUUGAAUAUGAGUAGCCUCUUUUAUCUUGAGUUGAAAACCGGUAGAGGUGUGAUCUAAAACAUGGAAGUUAUCUGCUGAACACAAAGCGCGACAAUGUGCAGAAUCUUUCAGAUGCUUGAAAAUGUGAGAGGCCCUGUCACUGACUAAGUGCUCUCUAGCACGUGUGGAAAAAUGCCGGCAGGUUUCACCUACGUAUCACGCAUUACAGCCAGCACAUACAAACUUAUAAACCACACGUGAACGGAGCCCGUCAGCGACAGGGUCUUUUACACCAAACAAGAAGCCGAUUUGGAAGGAAGAUAAAACUAGUUUAAUAUCCAAGUCAUUGCAAUAGCGCUUAAUAAAAUGGCGAAUCUUUUUUUUGAUUGAUAGCAAAAAAGUGGCCCAUUUAGGGUAGCUUAAAGUAAAACCUAGGUGAAGUGGUAGGAAGAGAACCCCGGGGAUGAUGAUUGCCUUGGGUCCCAGUGAUGUAACGGUUUAUAAUCUUCUCGAUUAAAUGAGCAGGGAAAAGAUUCAUUUUUAGAAUAUCAAUAAGUUUGUUAAUGUCCUCGUGAAACCCUAACCAGGUGUUAUUAAUCUUGUAGGCCCUAUCAACGAGAGUCUUAAUGAGACCCACUUUGUAAGAGUACGUGGUGAAGCUGAAAUAAUUAGUUAGUAACCCAGUGAGUUGGUAACCAGACUGAGUUUCUUAUCUGUGCAUUGCCUCGAUGUGACCGCGAGAUGCCUCAAUCGUGAAUGGUACAUUUUAAUGUUGGAUCAAAUUAAAUCAGUUCUCCUUUUUAUCUACUAUUUUUUUCAGGUUUUCUACUUCCGUAUGUAUGUUGGCAUUGUAAUACUGGGUGCUCUUCACGGGCUGUUACUCCUUCCUGUUUUGCUAAGUUACGUUGGCCCAGCUCCCCGAAAAGUUCCUCCCACAGCGACUUCGUCAGAUCACACCUCGGCCGUUUCCGAGCGCACGCCUUUAAUCAAGGCGUAACUGAGCAUCAAUGUAAAAUAAAUUUUAGCCGUAACUUUAACCUUUUUCCGCUUAGGUAUUCAAAUUUCGCGUGCAUCUCGGCGUUGUUUUGAUCGGCGCGUAGCAUGGUCUCUUGUUUCUUCCUGUACUUCUGAGUUAUGUGGGCCCGAUGUCUUCAAAGGCAGUGGCGGUGUUGGAAUACGAGUCAUCGUUAAGGCAACGAUGAUGAAAGGAAACUUGCUCUAUUCUGAACCAGUGGAAUCCAGUGACCUUGGACUGUUAAACUGAAAUUGUCAUUGCACAUGAUAUUUUGUCUUUUUAUGUUAUUUAAAGCCUAUUAUAAUAACGCAAAAUCAAUUUAAGAAUAAGAAAAAAGAAUGGCAAAUUAACACUGAUCUUAAAGCGAAGAAGCUUUUGAAAGCUGUGUUUUGUGAGUGGUGUUUGUUGCAUUUGAGGAGAAAAAUAAAGUU